rnacentral:rRNA from 1 species
GUGGUGCGGCAGGGUCGACGAUUCUACGGGAGGCAGCAGUGGGGAAUAUUGCACAAUGGGCGCAAGCCUGAUGCAGCGACGCCGCGGGAGGGAUGACGGCCUUCGGGUUGUAAACCUCUUUCAGUAGGGAAGAAGCGAGAGUGACGGUACCUGCAGAAGAAGCGCCGGCUAACUACGUGCCAGCAGCCGCGGUAAUACGUAGGGCGCAAGCGUUGUCCGGAAUUAUUGGGCGUAAAGAGCUUGUAGGUGGCUUGUCGCGUCUGCCGUGGAAACCCGAGGCUCAACCUCGGGCGUGCGGUGGGUACGGGCAGGCUAGAGUGUGGUAGGGGAGACUGGAACUCCUGGUGUAGCGGUGAAAUGCGCAGAUAUCAGGAAGAACACCGAUGGCGAAGGCAGGUCUCUGGGCCAUUACUGACACUGAGAAGCGAAAGCAUGGGUAGCGAACAGGAUUAGAUACCCUGGUAGUCCAUGCCGUAAACGUUGGGCACUAGGUGUGGGACCUUCUAACGGGUUCCGUGCCGUGGCUAACGCAUUAAGUGCCCCGCCUGGGGAGUACGGCCGCAAGGCUAAAACUCAAAGGAAUUGACGG